UACGUAGGGGGCAAGCGUUGUCCGGAUUUAUUGGGCGUAAAGAGCGUGUAGGCGGCCUGAAAGGUCAGCUGUGAAAACUCGAGGCUCAACCUCGAGACGUCGGUUGAAACCAUCUGGCUAGAGUCCGGAAGAGGAGAGUGGAAUUCCCGGUGUAGCGGUGAAAUGCGCAGAUAUCGGGAGGAACACCAAUGGCGAAGGCAGCUCGCUGGGACGGUACUGACGCUGAGACGCGAAAGCGUGGGGAGCAAACAGG
rnacentral:rRNA from 1 species